rnacentral:lncRNA from 1 species
UUUUAAGAUGUUAAGUCUACAAAGGCCAUCCACUUGAAUUUCCAUUUCAGAAAACUGUCCCUACUUAUAGAGGUCUUUGUAAAGCAGUUUGGAAAGUUUCUGAAAAACGAGGUAUGUGAUGCAAAGAGGCAAUGUUUUAAAUUGUUUUCACAGUAUCAUAUUACAAUUUGUGCAAGAGUGUUUAAUACAAACCACGCAAGUUUGCUUUCUUCAAGAAAAUCAAACUGUUCUGACUGAGGACAGACUGGGCUAUACUUAAA